AUUGUUUGGUUUAUGCUUGAUUUGGAUUUAUCAUGGGAAAGAUCUAGAAGCUAGAGUGAGAUUUUGCUACAGAAUCUAACCUGAAGGUGUGAUUUUUAUUUGCUCUGGUGAGAUUUUACCUGAGGAUUUGCCUUACUCGAACGUACUAUGGAGACGCUUGUUGUUGUGGCCCAGCACAGGAAUCAGUACUAUACCAGAGUCAAGUCAUGUAAGCAAGCUCGAUUCGGGUCUUCCCCUCCUCCGCACUUUAGAGAGAUCAAUUGCCGGACUUUCCAAUCUGGGUCAGGUAUACUGCCAACCCCUUUCGAUACUUGCACAGCUCCUGUGAACAAAGUCACUCUUUCUG
rnacentral:misc_RNA from 1 species